GACGAACGCUGGCGGCGUGCUUAACACAUGCAAGUCGAACGAAGUGGCGAACGGGUGAGUAACGCGUAAUCAACCUGCACUUCAGAGGGGGACAACAGUUGGAACCGACUGUUAAUACCGCAUACAGAAGGAGGGGAUGGCGUGGGAUUAGCUAGUUGGAGGGGUAACGGCCCACCAAGGCGAUGAUCAGUAGCCGGUCUGAGAGGAUGAACGGCCAAAUUGGGAAUGAGACACGGCCCAGACUCCUACGGGAGGCAGCAGGGGGGAAACUUCCGAAAUGGACGAAAGUCUGACGGAGUAACGCCGCGUGAGUGAUGACGGCCUUCGGGUUGGAAAGGUCUGUUAAUCGGGACGCGGUACCGGAAUAGAAAGCCACGGCUAACUACGUGCCAGCAGCCGCGGUAAUUC
rnacentral:rRNA from 1 species